UACGUAGGGUGCAAGCGUUAAUCGGAAUUACUGGGCGUAAAGCGUGCGCAGGCGGUUUUGUAAGUCAGAUGUGAAAUCCCCGGGCUUAACCUGGGAACUGCGUUCGAAACUACAAGGCUAGAGUGUGGCAGAGGGGGGUGGAAUUCCACGUGCAGCAGUGAAAUGCGUAGAUAUGCGGAGGAACACCGAUGGCGAAGGCAAUCCCCUGGACCUGUACUGACGCUCAUGCACGAAAGCGUGGGGAGCAAACAGG
rnacentral:rRNA from 1 species